GAUAAAAUAUACUAACACUAUUGAUAACUGAUGAAAUAUACACAUAUACAUAUUUAUGGAGUUUUUUUGUGAUUUUUUUUUUCUCAAAUAUAUUUAUUUGAGAUGGAGUCUCCCUCUGUCAACCAGGCUGGAGUGCAAUGGCUCAAUCUGGGCUCACUGCAACCUCCACCUCUCGGGUUCAAGCAAUUCUCCUGCCUCAGCCUCCUGAGGACCUGGGACUACAGGUGUGCACCAUGAUGCCUGGCUAAUUUUCAUAUUUUCAGUAGAGACGAGGUUUUGCCAUGUUGGCCGGGGUGCUCUUGAACUCCUGGACUCAGGUGAUCCUCCCGCCUUGGCCUCCUGAAGUGUUGGAAUUACAGGUGUGAGCCAUAGCGCUCUUUUCUCUCUCUCUUUUUAUUUUUAUCCCUAGUCCUGCAGUCCUUCUCUUGUCUGACCACUUGACUUCCCAACUGUUACCAAUGCAUUCAUCAGACAGAGAUGUAUUAAUGGCUUAUUAUGUGCUUAGACUGCAAUACCAGAGUCAUUUCCUAGAAGGAAGGAAUGGUUUUAACAUCUGUGCUUCAUCACAUUCAAUCCUGAAAUACUUAAUUUUGUGCAGUAGAAGAUUAAAAGAAACUAUUUGUAAUAGCACUAAUAUAAGACCUUGACUUCGGUUAUGGUAAGUAAUAGAGAAAGACCAUUUCGAUGGAUUUUGAAAUCUUUACAUUCUUUUCUGAAUCCCAGACCCAAAAACCCAUCUCUGUUGAAUGGAGCAAGCAAAUUAAAUGGAGUGUAAAAUGAAACUGUGAUACUGUGUAUGUCAGCGGAAACUGAUGGGUCUUACGAGUUCAAGAUUUGCAAGUCUAAACACUUGAAAAGUAUGGCCACCUUAAUUGUUUUGUGAUUUAGCUCCUAAUCCUCCUCAAGCAGUAUUUAUGCAAAAGCAUUGCCAGCAGCAGUCGGGAGUUCUUAAUUUUCAUCCUGUUUUGCUUUAUCCUAAAGUACGAGUGAACUCAUGUAAGAAAGAGGUUUCUCAUCCAGGCGCGGUGGCUC
rnacentral:lncRNA from 1 species